CUGCAGUCGCCUUUCUCUCCUUUCUGUCCGUCCAUACCCUGACGCACAAAGAGCGAGAUAAACUUCCAGCUGUCAUGCAAUGUGGUCCUGUCUCACCAAUGUCACCUUUAGGUCCCUGGAGGCAAAGAAUCCAGAAGAGAUGUCACAUUCAGCAUUAUCAGGAGUGGUGGGGAAAAAAACUAAACUCCGAAACUACCAUAUAUAUAUAAAGAAGCUUAAACAAUAGUAUAAGACAUUUAA